rnacentral:rRNA from 1 species
UACGUAGGGGGCUAGCGUUGUCCGGAAUCAUUGGGCGUAAAGGGCGUGUAGGCGGCCCGGUAAGUCCGCUGUAAAAGUCAAAGGCUCAACCUUUGAAUGUCAGUGGAUACUGCCGGGCUAGAGUCCGGAAGAGGCGAGUGGAACUCCUGGUGUAGCGGUGGAAUGCGCAGAUAUCAGGAAGAACACCAACGGCGAAGGCAGCUCGCUAGGACGGUACUGACGCUGAGACGCGAAAGCGUGGGGAGCGAACAGG